GUACUCUGCUUUCUCUUCAGCUCGUAUAAAUCUUUCGCCUUUUACUAAAGAUUUCCUUGUGCUACAACUCAGAGGGUGAUUUGCCUUUUUUUAUCAUGACACAGCAGGCUUGG
ensembl:snRNA U5 U5 spliceosomal RNA